rnacentral:rRNA from 1 species
UACGGAGGGUGCUAGCGUUGUUCGGAAUCACUGGGCGUAAAGCGCGUGUAGGCGGUCUGCUAAGUCUGAUGUGAAAGCCCGGGGCUCACCCCCCGGAAGUGCAUUGGAAACUGGCAGACUGGAGUCCCGGAGAGGAGGGUGGAAUUCCUGGUGUAGCGGUGAAAUGCGCAGAUAUCAGGAGGAACACCGGUGGCGAAGGCGGGUCUCUGGGCCGAUACUGACGCUGAGGAGCGAAAGCGUGGGGAGCGAACAGG